UACGUAGGGUGCAAGCGUUGUCCGGAAUUAUUGGGCGUAAAGAGCUCGUAGGCGGUUUGUCGCGUCUGCUGUGAAAACCCGAGGCUCAACCUCGGGCCUGCAGUGGGUACGGGCAGACUAGAGUGCGGUAGGGGAGAUUGGAAUUCCUGGUGUAGCGGUGGAAUGCGCAGAUAUCAGGAGGAACACCAAUGGCGAAGGCAGAUCUCUGGGCCGUAACUGACGCUGAGGAGCGAAGGCUAGGGGAGCGAACGGG
rnacentral:rRNA from 1 species